AUUGAACGCUGGCGGCAUGCCUUACACAUGCAAGUCGAACGGCAGCGCGGACUUCGGUCUGGCGGCGAGUGGCGAACGGGUGAGUAAUACAUCGGAACGUACCCUGUUGUGGGGGAUAACUAGUCGAAAGAUUAGCUAAUACCGCAUACGACCUGAGGGUGAAAGUGGGGGACCGCAAGGCCUCACGCAGCAGGAGCGGCCGAUGUCUGAUUAGCUAGUUGGUGGGGUAAAGGGCCACCAAGGCGCCGAUCAGUAGCUGGUCUGAGAGGACGAUCAGCCACACUGGGAAUGAGACACGGCCCAGACUCCUACGGGAGGCAGCAGUGGGGAAUUUUGGACAAUGGGGGCAACCCUGAUCCAGCAAUGCCGCGUGUGUGAAGAAGGCCUUCGGGUUGUAAAGCACUUUUGUCCGGAAAGAAAUCGCGCUGGUUAAUACCUGGCGUGGAUGACGGUACCGGAAGAAUAAGCACCGGCUAACUACGUGCCAGCAGCCGCUGUAA
rnacentral:rRNA from 1 species